rnacentral:rRNA from 1 species
GAGAUGUGUGAUGACGCAUAUCAAUAAGCGGAGGAAAAGAAACUAACAAGGAUUCCCCUAGUAACGGCGAGUGAAGCGGGAAGAGCUCAAAUUUGAAAUCUUAAAGGGUUUCCCUUUACGAAUUGUAGUUUAAAGAAGUGUUUUCUGUUGGAGUUUCGGUAAAAGUUCUUUGGAAUAGGACAUCAUAGAGGGUGAGAAUCCCGUAUUUGACCGUUACUUUCCAGCUGUGUGAUACACUUUCAAAGAGUCGGAUUGUUUGGGAAUGCAGUCCAAAAUGGGUGGUAAAUUUCAUCUAAAGCUAAAUAUUGGCGAGAGACCGAUAGCGAACAAGUACCGUGAGGGAAAGAUGAAAAGAACUUUGAAAAGAGAGUUAAACAGUACGUGAAAUUGUCAAAAGGGAAGCGUUUGACACCAGUGUUGUUUAGUUGAAAAUCAAUUCAAUAAUUUUUGAUUUUAAGUAGUAUUGACUUCAUCAGCUUGCUGCUUUCUUUUCAGGAAUUAUUGAAUGCACUUUUCAGUUAACAAGUCAACAUCAAUUUCUUUUGUUGUAAAAGGGUAAGAGGAAGGUGGCUUUCUUUUCGGAGAAAGUGUUUAUAGCCUUGUGCCUCUGCAAUCGGAGAGAUUGAGGUCUGCAGCGUAGAUCCUUCGGGGUUAGAUACAUUUGUGCUAAGUUAUAGCUUUUCAUAGACAACUUGUUGACUAUGUUUAGUCUUGUAGCUUACUCGCUAUGCUAUUUUACCUACGCUUAGGAUGUUGACGAUCAGCUGAGCGCG